AAGAAGAGAAAAAAUGCAUAAUCCACCACCACCAGACCCCCACCACCCACAUCCGCAACCCCAUGCUCCGCCUCCAGGUCCGCCACAUGCUGAUCAUCCUCCUCCAGGCCAUGCUCCUCCUCCUGGGCCAGGCCCCCAUGCGCCACCGCCAGGACCAGGUGGUCCAGGUCAUCAUCCCGAGCCACACAAGCCUCGUCCAUGAUCCUUAUACCGUGAAUACAAUAUUAUGUAAGCUUAGGCUGGGUACCGUACUUAUGUAAUAAAUUAAGAAAACCUAUUUCUACUAUAAUAAUAAUAAAGAUGUAAUUUCUACGUUAUGGAG
rnacentral:lncRNA from 1 species